CCUACGGGAGGCAGCAGUGGGGGAUAUUGCACAAUGGGGGGAACCCUGAUGCAGCGACGCCGCGUGGGUGAAGGAGUGCUUCGGCAUGUAAAGCCCUAGCGGCAGGGAAGAAGCAAGACGGUACCGGACGAAGAAGCCCAGGCUAACUACGUGCCAGCAGCCGCGGUAAGACGGAGGGGGCGAGCGUUAUCCGGAUUCACGGGGUGUCAAGGGAGCGUAGACGGCCAAGCCAGCCAGGGGUGCAAGCCCGGGGCCCAACCCCGGGACUGCCCUUGGAACUGCAUGGCUGGAGUGCGGGAGGGGCAGGCGGACUUCCUGUUGUAGCGGUGCAUUGCGUAGAUAUCAGGAGGAACCCCGGCGGCGACGGCGGCCUGCUGGACCGCGACUGCCGUUGAGGCUCGAAAGCGUGGGGAGCGAACAGGAUUAGAUACCCCAGUAGUC
rnacentral:rRNA from 1 species